CAGUCCGCGGCUUGUGUGCCGCGAGGAGAGGCGCAAAGGGUGACACACCAGGAAAGCAGGUAGCAGGCAAGAGUGUGGUUAUCGUUGGACCAGGAUUCAGGAUCUGACCGAGUAGCUGACUCUUAAUCCAGUUUGUGUUGAUCACCAGGAGGAUCUGGACCUCAGUGUUAUCACAUCUAAAGCUAUAAUCACAUCCCUGUUAAGCCUUCCUGAGAUCACACCAAAUGUCCUUGAUGGGAAUUGUAAACAACCCUUACUUCUGGUUUCUAAUGAUAUUCCAGGAAAGGAGCCUAACUAGAGUCAGUGAUAUGCCAACUCCACCUUUGCCUUCCACCAUGUUUGGAAGCUCCCUGAGGCCUCACCAGGAGCAGAUGCUCGUCCCAUGCUUCCUAUAAGCCUGCAGAACUGGAAAAGAAAGCUGGAUAAAGUAUUUAUAGAAGAUAGAGGACCUGUGGUGGCUCAUGCCUGUAAUCCAAGGUGGAAGGAUUGCUUGAGGCCAGAAGUUCAAGACCAGUCCAAGCAACAUAGCAAGGCCCCAUCUCUACAAAAAAAUGAAAAUAAAAUUAGCCGAGCGUGAUGGCUCAUGCCUGUAGUUCUAGCUUCCAGAGAGGCUGAGGCAGGA
rnacentral:antisense_RNA from 1 species